UUGUCGUCAGCUCGUGUCGUGAGAUGUUGGGUUAAGUCCCGCAACGAGCGCAACCCCUACGUUUAGUUGCUAACGCGUGAAGGCGAGCACUCUAGACGAACUGCCGUUGACAAAACGGAGGAAGGUGGGGAUGACGUCAAAUCAUCAUGCCCCUUAUGUUCUGGGCUACACACGUGCUACAAUGGCCGGUACAGACGGACGCAAAGCCGCGAGGUGGAGCAAAUCCUAAAAAGCCGGUCUCAGUUCGGAUUGCAGGCUGCAAUUCGCCUGCAUGAAGUCGGAAUCGCUAGUAAUCGCAGGUCAGCAUACUCGCGGUCCGAAUACGUUCCGGCCUU
rnacentral:rRNA from 1 species